UAUUUGACCUGAAUAGAGUUAAAGCUUUUUCCCAAAAAUGCUAACUUAUGGUUCCUAUAGCAACCAUAAUUUACUCUCUUAUAUAACUCCUUGCUUCAUGCCAUGGUUAAUAUAUGCAAUAAAGCUCUAAUUAACUUUCAUCUUUCCUUAGAUUAGUGUGUGGUUUCCAGGAAUAGAAGGUGGAGGAAGGCAGGGAGUAAUGCUGUGUUUGUAGAAUCUGCAGAUUGAGAACAGGAGGAUUGCUAAGCAACAGAAGAAGGAUUUACUUAGCAUUCAGCCAUAAUAUUUUACUAUGUUUUGAAUCACAAAAAAAACCAUUCUAUUAAAAUGCGCAUUUAAAUUCUUGAUGUAUAGUAUGCAUGAAGUCUCUUAGCUCACAUUAUAGAUCUUGAAUUAGAGUCUCAAAGAAUAACUAUGAGAAAAUGUAACUUAUUUGAUUAGAAUACUGUAUUAUGAGUUCAAAUAUAAGUUUGAACUUGUUUUAUUGAGCUUAUUUAUUGAGAUUUUAUUUUAUUUUAAGGAUACAGCCAUCUGCAAACAAUGAAGAAUACGCUUACGUAGUCAAUUAAAUAUUGAGCACAAAGUAAGCGCUGUACCAAGAAUAAGAUACUAUCUUACUUAUAUUGAAUGCUGAUAUAUUUAGUGUGUUUAUCUGUUGACUUUUAGUAUUGAAUUCCUCCACUGGAAGGUGAGUCUGUAAGGCGAGGACUUGUCCUUUUGUCCCCAGUGCCUAGGGAAAGGCCGCAUGACUCAGCAUGACUCAGCACUCAGUACCUACUGAGUGAGUGAAUGAACAGUUAGUCACAAGGGGAAAGGAAGUCAGGCUGACUGGCAAUAGGUCACAAUUACCAGAAAAAUUAGGAUAUUUCAAAGUUCUGUAUCAACUGCAGGCAAAUAUUAUAGAAUGAAAAUCUGUGGCCUGUGCUUUAAUCCAUCAAUCCUAAAAAUUUACAGCUUGGAAUGGCAAUGCUAUUAUGGUGUUAGUGAGACUUACAUUUUCUAUGAAGCUGUCAGAAGCGAAGUUAAAAUUCCAGAACUUUUGGGAAAUUAGCAUACUGUGUAAUUAACCUGUGCCCUGCUCCGCACUGGUUUUCCAAAUGCAGGUAUGCCUUGGUUUAUACGGAAGAUAUAAUUCUGAAAGAGCUGUGUGUAAAAAUUAAAUCAUAUUUAAGAUACAAUUAAGAAACUUAUUAGCUAACAGACCAAUCUUUGAAUCAUUUGAAGGCAGAUAAAUUAUUUUAUAAUAUAAAUAACCACUAGCUAACAAUAUGAAUUUGUAUUAUCUCACACUGUAUUUUUCUUAGAUAAGAUAUUUGUCUCAAAUCACUUUGUCUGUUUAGUUUGAACACCUGGAUUCUGUUUUUCAGAAUGGCACUCCUAUUAAACUUCCUAGUGGCCCCCCUGUCAUAUCUGCCUGGAUUGUUCCUAAUCUAAGCAAUAAUUCCAACUUUUCAGGAAACCUAUAAAAUAGUUUGAGGGAGGACCUGGAAAGAUGCAAACCUAUGUAGAGACAAAUAGAAUUUUCAUAUUACAAUAUUUUAAACAUAAUUUAAUUUAUUUAUCACACUUAAGAUUUUUAAGAAGUUUCUUUGUGAGAGGAGAUAUGCCAUUUAGAAAAAAACAGUAAUAAAAAGGAUAAAUUAUAUUGUGCUUAUCAAAGACUUAGUAGUAAAUGUUUCUAUUUAGAAAAAUAGGCUACAUAUAAAUAUUAUGCAUAUUAUAAGCAUAUAAGUGUAUCUACUUUAUCCUUGUUUCAGACUUGUUAAACUCUUAAGAAAAUCUUGCAACUUAUCUAAUGUAACUCCUUGCUCUCAGCGGACUCCGUAAGCUUUCUGUUAGCUCCACAAGCAGUCAUCCCUGUGCCCCGUGGGGUUUGCUCUGUGGCAGUGGUCCUCAAAGUGGGGUCCCCAGACCAGCAUCAGCCUCACAGUGUUAAAAAUUCGGGCUCCCCUCACACAUCCUCUAUCAGAAACUCCUUGGGUGGGGCUUAGCAAUCUGUGUUGAAUGCACCCUCUGGAGCCCUUUAUCCCUGGUGAAGUUUGAGAAACACUGCCCUGUGGGAUUUAGGAAGGAAAACUGUUUUACGGUUUUAUAGAAAAGAUAAGACAUAUACACAAAUGACAGUAAUAACAGGGUGACAAUAAAAGGGUGACAUUUCCCAUAAAACAGUCAUAGAUAAAGCGUAACUGGAAUUUGUGGGGAGAAGAGAUUACUUUGCUGUGGAGAUGACAUCCCCAAUCGUACACUGGUUCAUCGAGGCGUCUGGGUGCUGGGGCCAAGUAAGACACAGUCUUGACCUCACUGGUCAAGUCCUCCACUUAUCCUCAUAAGUGGGUGGUUCUGCUUGCUAAUUCCCUCACGGCUAGAAGGAACUUUAGACAUCACACAGUCCAACCAUCUCCAAACUUGAGAGUAUCUCAGAGGCAUCUGACUGGCUGCUUAAAACACGUUCUACUGGGCCGAACCCAGAGUUUCUUAUUCAGUAGGUCUAGGGUGGGGCCUGGGAAGUAGCAUUUCUAACACACUCCCGGAUGCUGCUGAGGCUGCUGGUCCAGCUUCUCAAGUGGAGGAUCGCUGAUACAGUCAGCUUUACGAAUGCCCAGAAAUAUGACUCACCCGAAAAAGUUAGCUCAAGGCUGAAAUGGAAAUAAAACCAGUUCCUCAAAUCCCAACUCAGUAUGACCUCCACUGCAGACUGCCUUUGGGACAAGCUGAAAAGAAAAUGCCUGCUGGAUCCUCAAUGAUUCUAGAACAACUGCAGGAGCAAAGAAUUGAUGACCUGGUGAUAUUUCGUCUGGCUCUCGUCUAUAUUGCAUUUUAAUUUCUUAUUCCCAAAUCAGCCACGUUCUCGACAUCUGCAUCCCAGUUGUGAACCGCUGGGCAUUCUAUUUUGUAUAUGGAGAUCUGAUUUGUACAUAAAGGAACAUUUGAAUCGCAUCAUUUUAAAAAAGGCAAUUCUAAAACUUACUAUUUUCUUCCUGAUGAUAGAGUGUUCGCAGGACAAAGGUCUUCUAUUAUAAAAACACCUGUCUCUUGGUUCCUUUCUGUAGAUGACCGACUAUGGAACUAACAAAAAAUUUACCGUGCUCGUUGAGCAUAAGGAAUUAAAAUAUGUGCUGAGAGACAAUCAAUGGAGAUAAUGUGCUGCUGAUAAUUUACUUCUAUUUCAGAAGCGUGUGUGCUUGAUCCAUACGUAAAUCCACGAUUAAGUUCUCUAAUUCUGUAAAUUAGAGAAAAUAUAUUCAUCUCCUUCUGAGUAGUGAUAAAGACAGAUUUCCCGGAAAUUUAAUUAAUCUACUUCGCAUUCUUGAAUGGUCGCGUGAAAAACUCAGACACCUCAGCACAAAUCAUGUAAUUGCAUUUUAAGUGAUAAUAUGGAAAAACUGGGCGUGGAUGAAAAUAAUAUAUUCUGAAUUGUACUGUGACUUCCUCUGAAAAUUUCAAAAUCUAUUUUUAAUUGCCUUCAUUUUAAAUGAAGUCUUGUAAGAAAACUAUUUUCCUUAUCUAAAGGUCAGCACUGAGGAAGGAGUAGAAAUGAGGAAGACCAGCGGCAGCCAGAUGGCAUCUGAGCCUCCGUGGAUGAACCCUCGUGGAUAUUAGAGGGAUGAUUUGCUUAAUCCCAUUGUGAUUAAUGGCCUAUCAAGGGAUGAGAGGGUGUUUAGACACUUAUUUCCUAUAUAUCUAUGCUAAUUUCCUACCACUGAAUCCAUGUCAUUACAUAAAGGAGAGAGGAAAUACCUCUGUCUCCCGGUCUCUCUUCUUCCCUGUAGUUAAUCUCUCCUUUUUCCCAUUUUGUCAAAUAGGGUAUAAAAAAUGUUCAGACUCCAACGCAGUUAAAUCUUAAGCACUUUCACUUGUCACAGCCAUCAUCCAGCCUCCCAAAUUAAAGAACAGCUGUUCAGAUUCUCUGGGGUAGGACAUGAUGAGCCUUAUUUCUUACUUCCUGCAGAGCUUGGUUUGAACUAUUUCUGAUUCUCGAGAACUCUAAGUAAUCACUCACUCUUUAAAAGAAGACAAAAACUCAAUAUUACUUUCUUAAGUAGUUUGGAUGACCAUCUAUUGCUUUCAUCCUGAGGAGAACAACUGGUUUAUUUUGCCCCUAAAGAUAGCAUUCUUAGAAUUCCAUGAAAAAGUUUAUUGAGUGUACCUAUAUUGUGUUGUUAGAAACAGCAUGAAGGCGCUUCUUCCUCUGUGAAAUGAAGCCAAAUAAUUGUGUGAUCUGUUUCUUAAAAUCGAGUUUUAAUGCCUUCAAUAAUCCCACUUGGUAGAAAGCUAUUUUCUAAUGCAAUGGACUCAGUUUCCUGAAAUUAGCUUCUUGGGCUCUAAAAAGAAAAAGGAAAGUGAUAGUUGAGUGGGAGAGAGAGAGUUUAAACAAAGGAUGAAGCAGAUGUCUAUUGGAUUUUUUUCCUCCUAUUUCUCUUUGGGGUGGAGGUUCAGGGGAAAUAUCAGUUUUCAAGCACCUUUCAGCCCCAAUUUCCCAGCGUUUAAGUUUGUAGAGUAACUUCAUCACUGAAUUGACUUAAUUUCAUUGUUGAUAAGACCUACGAAUCAGAUGUUUCUAACACCACUGUACCCAUUGUUUUACCAUUGUGGCUCAAAUUUUAACAUGCAGGCAAAUUACCCUCAUCACCCUCGGAUCUUACUAAAAUGUGGGUGUUGACUGAGUGGGCCUAAGAUUCCAUGAUUCUGACAAGUUCCAUGAUGAUGCUCGUGCUGCUGGCCAUGAACCUCGCUUUGAGCAGCUGGGCUGUGUACCUGCAACACGAAUAAAACCACGCUGAGCUCAGAGCGGCAGAGAGAAAGAUUACCAGUUCUGUUUGGUGGUGUUACUUCCAUUUUCCUGCUGAUCCCUCCAUCCUGCUCAUCGCCAUUUAAAAUCUGACUAACCAGCCACACACCUCCCCAGAAACUUUUCCACCCACUUGUAGAAAUCUUAUUCAAAUAAUCGUGGUUCCAAGUGUGGCUCGACCAUUUCCCCAGAAGGUAUGUCUGCUUUGCAAGUACAAAGCUGGCCCCCGGCCUCACCUGGCUGUGAAGGGGCGAAGGGCAAUGAGGUCUCGUCAACAGUGUUCAGCAAACUGUGGUUGUUUGCCAAGCAUCAGGCACAUCCGUCUGACUGGCUGUUACUCUUGAUUCCCCUGCUGGUUUGUUAGGCUGUCGGUUGGUGUCACCGUCCUCAUGGAAGGAAAAUGAUGUUUGUCCCAAGUCCACUUAGGUAAGAUGCGCGUGUUCUUCUUCUUGUUUAAAGUGGCUUCAUUACCUUUAUUUGUGGGACUUUUUAUUUUUUAGAACUUUUUGCCCCAUAUGAUUAAUGGAGUCACUGUUUGUUUCCAACAAUGAUUUCAGUGCAAUGGAUGUGUCCAAUUGUAAAUGCCACAAGCACAGACUUUUCCUAAAAAUGAAAUUUGGGAUGCCUAACCAUUAUUAACGAAAGUGCUGCCUUAGCCAGAGUCAAAAGACAAAAGUCUCAUUUUUUAUUAAAUACCUUGGGUAGAUGUUUGUAAAUACAACGGAGACUUUUUAUUUUAUCGAAGGAAGGUUUUCAUUUAUUCUUCUGUUGUAUCAAACUGUGGUGCAGUGUUUUAAUUAGAGGGUAGUAUUAGUUAUGUUUUAGGUUUAAAAGAGUACAGGAAGUAGCUGAUAAAAUAUUAAUUUUAAGAACUCAAUCCAUUCGAGCAUUUCAGACUUUUAAAUAAUUGGUGUCAAAGUCAGAUAUUUUCGAAAGAUUUAUGUGCAAAUGGUAGACGUAACCUGAAAUCAAUGAGAUGAAUGUGGUGAUUUCAACUACUGGGAAGGACAAAUAAAUGUAUUUUCUCAGUCUUUGCAUGGGAAUAUUGUUUUUAAUAGCUUUAAAAUACAAGUCUGAAAAAUAUAGGUGUAUUUAACAGAAAUAGUGGGGUUUAGUUUUUGAAAUUGAAUAUACACAGGAAAAUCUUAUUUAAAAAAAUCUGAAAUAUGAUUCGCCACUGAAGGGCUGUAAUACGUCAAUGUAUCAAACGUCGUUAUUUACCCGUAGUAAUUACAUGAUAGACGUUUGAGGAAUGCUUACUGUUUUCUUUACAAAUCAGAGUUUAGUCAAGGUGAGCCAUGCCCAUCUUCACUUGCGUCCUGAGGGACUAUGGAGAGGGAGGGAGAGGAAUGGAGUGAGUGAGAGCAUUCCAGGCAUGGGGCUUGGGACUGUCUACAGUGUGAGCAUCAUCAUUCAGUAGAAAAAAGGCAGAGAGCUGCUCUUGCAGGACGUAUGGCCACCGUGAAAGUUGCUUUUUAUCUUGAAAUGUCCUAUUGUGCAGAAAACAAUGGGAUGUGGGAUAAGUUUUAUAUGGAGAAAAUAAAUGCUUACUUUUUCCUUUUGAUUUAUUUUAGUUACCAAAAAUAGGUUUGAAACAUCCCCAUUUGGCUUCAGAUGAAUGAAAAAUGAACCUUGAAUAAAAGAAAAGCAUCAAAUUGUUAUGUGUUUCUUAGGUGAAAAGCAACAAUGUUCCAGAAGGGUGAAGAUGAUGUUUAAAUGUACUUUAAGCGUGCUGCUGACAGAUAACAGGAAAUAUGAUCCUUAGCUCUGAAAUCCUUCCUUUCAAAUAUCUUUUAGAAUUUGAAAACUUUGGGAGAAUUGUAUUACAGAAAUAGAAAAAAAAAUUACCUGGAGCAAAAGACAAAGAAAUGGGGCUUUUUAUUAUGUGCUUAUGAGAGUAUGUGUCCGUGCAGCCUCUGAAUUAGAUUUCUGGAAAAUGGAAUGUGUGGGAGGGGGUUCUAACAGGAUAGGGACAUCACCUGUUGCUCUCUUUGGGAGAAAUGAAAUGUAAUUCCAGGCUAAUUCAGGGAAUUGAGAGCAUUAUCUUGAGCUGUUUUGCUGCUGGAGUCUUUAUUAGCUUCUCAUUCUCCUAUGGUUUCUCAAAUACCCAGAUUCAGUCAGUGCCACAGGGCACAGUGCAUCUCUGUGACUCCACAGGGGGCGCCCCAGCAGACAGAGACCAGAUCUGGAAAACACGAACCAACCCAGCCACUGACAGGGGGGCUUCAGAAAAGCAGCACACAUUAUUUAAUUACAGAAGAUGAUUUAUUCAUAAGCAUUAGGAAUAUGGAAUGAAUUCAAUUUAUGAAGACUGGCUUCUUACUCGGUGCUGUUAUAUGCAGUACGAUAUAAGGUUAAGUGGCUUAUCCUCAGUGACUUGACCUUUCUCUUUAUUUUGAUUAUCUUAACGAUUUGAUUUCAUUAAAGAAACAUCAAACAAGGCAUUUUAUGGUGAGUAAAUCAGGCCUGGCACUUCAGAAUUCAUCUCUUUGGCUAUUCGUUGCAAAUAGGUUAAACUAUAAAUCAGUAACUCCUAUAGUAUUUAAAUUUUUCUUUCAAAAAUUCUUGAAGCUUUGCUUCAUAUCAAAGUCACUUGUGCUCACAAAUUAUGGAGUUUUAUCAAUACAUUUUAUUUUUGUAGUGGCUGAAGGUAAAGGGUUUAGGAAAAUCUGAUUUAUUAUCUGUAUCUUGUAGUCAUCACUAAAAGCAAGAAAAUGCAUAACAGAUGAUCUUUGUCCUUCAAUGCUGUGGGACAGUGAUGGAGUACCAGGAGAGCAGGUGGUACAACAGUCUGUUUUUGUUUUAAAAUGAUUUCUUCCCCAAUAAUUUAUUUGAGCAUGGCUCCUAAACAGAUUUAUUUAACCCCAGACAAACCCUAUCCUGAAGCUUAUAAGACCUACUUCAAUUCAUUUUUUCUCCAAAUAGUUCCCUUUUUAUGUGAUUUUAAAUAUUAAAAGAAUAAAUGUGGUGGUAAUAUAGGUCUAAAAAAUAUAACCCUUAACAUUUUAUUGAUUACUUGUGUUCUGUUAUUUCCCAUGUCUGCAUUGAUAUAAACAUAGAUUCAGGGACCAAUCCAUCUGCAAAUUGGCACAUGAUAAGACCAAGAUGAAAAAGUUGAUUUAGGGUUUUAUAAAGUAAUGAUGUUAAUUUUUUUAAAAAAACUAAAAUAUUUAUUAAACUAACAAAUUUCUAAAUUGAAUUAGUGUCCCUAGUACCAUCAAGUUUAUAUAUUGCGUUUUCAAGUUUUAUUAAUUUUUAAGUCAUUGCUUUUUAAAUUAGCGUUUAAAAAGUCAUUUAAUACCGUAAUUCUUAUUUAUUUAUUUUUUUUGGCACUUGGCCAAAUCUCCACUGAUAGUUUGCAAAUAAACUUUCUCUUUAAAAAGUGUCAUUGUUUUCUAUGUGGAAUAGAGAAAUAAUUACAGAGGAUUCAUUUCUCUGUGCUGUUCUUCAUUACAGUUGAGCUGUGACUUGGUAUUCUUUAUAUUUAAUUUGAGGAAGACCUCUCUUCACACCGAUUUAAGUAUCAAUAAUUGUGUUUUUCCAGAAUUUUAAUUCAUUGGACUAUGAAUUAUGAUAGAGUUCAUAUAUUUAGGUAUCAAUAAUUUAUGCCAGCUCUAUAGAAAUGUAGUUAGAAAUAAGUGAUGUGGCAUUUUCUGGACUUAAUUGUGUCUCCCAAAAUUGUGUUGAAGUCCUAACUCCAAGGACCUCAGAAUGUGACUGUGUUUGGA